rnacentral:lncRNA from 1 species
ACAUGGUCUAGUUUUGAGGAUAGUGAGAUUGAGUCUCUUCUCAACGAGGAUUUCAAAGUCAACAACGAGAACAAUAGGGAAUAUCAUGAGUCGUUGAAAGAGUUGACCUCGGAGGAGUUGUUGGGAGAAUUGAACGAUAUUUGUUCAAAAUGGGAAACUCCGCCCGAGAUUGUUCGUGUUGACCCUAGGCCCGAUUUUGCGAGUCAUGUUGGUGAACCACCGACAUUUGACUCAUUGUUCCAUCAUUCACAUAGCGCCUUACGAAAGGAUGACAUCAUUUCUU